rnacentral:rRNA from 1 species
UACGUAGGGUGCGAGCGUUGUCCGGAAUUAUUGGGCGUAAAGGGCUCGUAGGCGGUUUGUCGCGUCGGGAGUGAAAACACCGGGCUUAACUCGGUGCUUGCUUUCGAUACGGGCAGACUAGAGGUAUGCAGGGGAGAACGGAAUUCCUGGUGUAGCGGUGAAAUGCGCAGAUAUCAGGAGGAACACCGGUGGCGAAGGCGGUUCUCUGGGCAUUACCUGACGCUGAGGAGCGAAAGUGUGGGAGCGAACAGG